AAGAAGAGGGGAAGAGGGAAGAGUUUGGGAAGUUAAAAAGGGAAGCUAUGGGUUCUGCUGGGAGGGGAAAUGAUUGCUGCCAAAUUUUUGUGAGAGAGGAGAAGUUCUUGCUGCAAGUUCUGGGAAAGAGGAGAAGUGGAGAACUUUUGAAGUUUUGGAGGAGAUAGACUCAAAGAAUUCACAAAGGAAGUCUUCAAGAGGUGGGUUUCUGAGCGUUCGUUCAUAUAUAGUGGAUUAACGAGCGUUGGUGAUAAGGAUUUGAUUAGAGAGCGUCUGUGUGCGCCUGUGAACGUUCGUUCAUUCCAGAGGGAGAUGAGCGUUUGGAAGAUGCGUUGAAUGAAGAGAACCUGGUUGAUGUCG